GUAUAUAUCAUAAAGAAAAAUUUUUCCAUAAAAUGGAAUACGAUAAUAUUAUAAGACAGGUUGGAGAAUUUGGAAAAUAUCAAAAAGUGUUUCUGGUCAUCGUAGCUAUAUCAUCAAUAUUUAAUGCCAUGACAACAUUUGCAUUAAAUUUUGUCUUUGGAGAACACGCUCAUAGGUACGUUAUUUUUAGUAAUAUUCGUUUCAUGCGAACGUGUACUGAAUUAAACGUUCUAAUUAUUUUACUUUUUGGAGAUAAAGUCUGGUUUUGUACAAAGCUAAUCCUCCCACUUGUCUGACAGUCGCAUACAUUUCAUUCAACAAAAAUCACUAUAGAAUAAUAUCAAAGAUGUUGCCAAGUGCACCGGAAAGGUAAGCAGAUCCUGUUCUGCAUAUGGCACCCGUCGUGUUACUCAAGGAAAAACAAGCUCGAUGAAAUUCUGUGUCAAUUAGAUAAUGUUCCAUUUUUGGAAUAGAAGACAAGAUUGUCGUUAUGAUAAUUGGAACAAAAUAAUUUGCUAUUUGUUUUAUGACUUGGGAAUUUUAAAAUAUGGAGUUUAACAGUAUGAAUUUAAUUGAUCAUGAUUAUAUACAUAAAGUAAAAAAGCAUGUAUCUUUAAUUUUAACUAUAAUAUCUAUAGAAUGAUUUGAAUGAUAUGUGUCGAUUCGCAAACAGGUCAGGAACAUUUUUAGUUUAAAUUCUUCAUUCAUUUCAACAGAUUAUUAUUUGUCAUUUUUAUCUUGUUACAUUUUAUAUAUGAAGAUACAUACAUAAUAGUAUAACAAAACAAAAAACAAGUUUUCUUUUCUUAUAAAAUGAUAAACUUUCUGUUUAAUUUACCUUCCUUUAUAAUACAAGUUAAUGAUAUCUAUUUGCCUACUUAUCAGAAAUUACCAUGACCAAAUAUUAUCAUGUUAAAUAUUCGAGGAAUGAAAAAUAAAACUACACCAUGUAUAAUAAACCCUGACAGAUUUUAUUUAUUCUGCUUCUUUUUUGUUUUUAAAAAAUAAGGAGACGAUAUAUGAUUGCAAAUGAGACCAAUAUUGAUCAAAAACCAAAAACACUAAGAUAUUCACAACUGUUAAAGGUUCCAAUACGGCCUUCAAAAAUAUCAAAACAUACCUAAUAGCUAUAGAUAAUACUUGCAUGAAAAAAUUUGAAUCAAUUCAAACGAGAAAACAAACAGUCUGAUUUAUGACACAAAAGUUAAAAAGAAAAAAGUAACAAACAACAUCAAUCGACAAUACUAAAAUGAUAUAUUCUGGCAUGUGCAGGAACAUACAUGUACAUGAUACUGUUGGGAAUAAACCGGCUUAUUAACAUUCAAUCCUUCUUCUACUCAAGGAAGUUUCACUCACAUGAGUUUCGUUAAUUCACGCGAAUAUUAGUGAAAUUCACAAGAAGGUUAUACUUGAAAUAACAGCUAAGUUUUCAAGUUAAUAAAAAUCAUGAAAAAUACCAUUUGUUUUGCAAUUGAAAUUCCUAUAAAUUUAUGUUAAAAUCACUUCAAAAUGUACUUGUAUACUCUCGUAAUAACCCGGCUUUGUUUUCUCUAAAUCGAUCUAUGAAUUUUGAAGAUCGGUUUACUACUGUUGCCUUCAUUAAGGUGAUUUUUUGUAAUGUUUUUUGCAUGUUUUAAGCAAAUUUCACGUUAAUUUCAUACGUGAGGAAAAUGUGCCUGUGUAACCUGUGACAGUGAUAAGAUGACUGAAAAUACAUACAUUGUAGUAUUAACGAAAUAAUGAUCCACGUUCAAACUAUCAUGGUUGGUAAUCACAAUUUUCAUAAUAUUGGAAAGUCCUGAACAUAACCAGUCGCUAUUAUUUGUAAAUGGCGUUUCAUAAUAAAAAUAUGCGCCAGUUAAAGCUAUUUCACCCCAAUAAUAAAAAAAAAAAGAUUCAUGCAAAUAAAAUCUUUGAACUUCUAAAAAAUGUAAAUAACAUUUGUUUUUGUUUUUGCUGCUUGCCUUGAUACACAAAAAGAGAAUAUAUUGCUCUCCAUUCAAACUAAGUAACUAACCAACCGUACCAAAAGUUUGUAGGUUUUACAAGCUAGUCUGGACAUGAAAUAACAUUAACUGUAUUGACAGCUAGUAAUUUUCUAAACGGAUGGUUUAUCAGACGUUGACCUUCAUUCAUGCGUCGAUUAUCAUUGUCCUAAUUUUUUUUAUGUUCGCAUGGUUACCCCAGACUAUUAUUGAAGAAUGUAUGUCAAGGUUGUACCUAUUUGUAUUUGAUUGUUGCCAAGUUUUCAUACUGGCUAUUACAAUUGUAAAAUUAAUCAUAAAACACGGACUUAUUUUAACAAAUAUUGGAUAUAAGUCCCUCUUUUGUAUUUCAUCGAUAUCCUAUGUUAUGAUGUUCUGAUAAAUCUCGAAGAUAGCAAAAUUUGUAAUCAAGGUAGCCAUUCAGUUUUAUAAUUAUAAUGAGUUCAUGGAAAAUAUUGUAGUGCGUAACCUAAAGCUUUAUUUGAAUAAAACUAUUCUUAUCAAAUGCACAAAAUUUGCUGCAAAACAGUUAAAUUGUUAUAUCAUAUUAUUUAUCAGUUAAUUUAUCUUACCGACUAUCUUAAUGUCGAUGUGGUAUUUUAUUGAGUGGCCUAGCAAAGUGAUAAAUUAUUGGUUUCAAUACUUAUUAUUAAGAUCCUACUUCCAUUGGUCUAUACAAAAACAAAUGCCAACGAUAAGAACUUGUUAGCCUUAAAUGUGUUUUUAUGAUUUAUUUCAACUGUCCAGCAUAAAUUUCGUCGUCUGAUGAAACCUGUCAGAUCGUGUAUUGAAAUAAAUCCUGCAUUCUUGAAAAAUACACGGUUCCAAUUCGGAUGUUAUUAACCAAUCAUAUUAUUAGAAAAGUAUAUGAGGUAAUUGUAAAAGUUAUUAUAAUUUUCGAUAGAAACCAAACAAAUCAGCUUAAUGUUUUUUAGUAUAACAACUAUUAAUAGACUUAACCUCGUGUUACAUAAUAUAUUUCUAACGUUACCGCUGCGUAGACGUGUUUGGGAAUGAGCCAACGGAUGCUGUUUUGAUAAUAUUUAUUUUUUCACUUAUUUUUAAAAUGGUUGACUGAAUGAUCUUUAAGUAAAGUCUAGUGCAAAAAGUUUAUACAUGUAAAGGACGACGAGAAAUAAACUAUUACUAUUAUAAAUUUGAUGAUAAAUGACAUGCUAUAUAUGGGCAGCAAUUGUGCCAUCUAAUGAGAACCACUCUAAGAUGUGGUACAUGUGCUCUUUAAAAAUGCAGAGAGUAAUGGUAUUCUCGUUUCUUAUUUGAAAGUUCGUUUAUUUGGUUAUCCAAUGUUCAUUAAAACUUUCUAUACGAUGAAGGUUUUGCUCAAUGUCUAAAGCCAUGCAGUGACGUAGAGUUGCUUUCUAUAUUUGUGCUCUGGUCUUUUGAUGAAUAGUUGACGUCUUGUAAUGUUAUUUUUUUCCCCGUUAUUUAUUUUCAUUAUAUUUGCACUAUUGUUGUUGUUAAUCUGUAUAAUUUAUGUUUUUAUGAUACUGUUAAACUUGUUAAAAUUAAUAUAUUAAACACAAUGUAAACAAUGUAAUAAACUUAAUUUUAACAGUUAUCUUACUUCGUUUUAUGUUAGGAUUUUUUGUAGGUUUUUUUUUGCCAUUUAUUUUUGGAGAUUGUAUUGCAUCUUUUUGGAUUCUGUUUUCGUAUAUGAUUUAUUUAUACUACUAUAUCUGGGCCCCGUAUGCAUAACAGUUCUUAAAUUUAGAUUUUUCUUAAUAAACACUUAAGUUAGGGAAGGAGAACGACAAUCCACAAGAUGCUGAACAAAUAUAGUAAAAUUUUACUGAAGAAAAAACGUUUUGUAAAACUAUUCGUUCAUUGAUACCUUAAUCGCGUAUUGUUAGGGUUAAAAAUAAAUUGUUGUCUCGAGUAAGUAAACGGGCCCCUUCAUCAAGCAACACCCAUGCAAGGUGAAUUAAAUAUUUAGUAGAGGAAAAAUAUUGGAUAACAAACUAUUUUUUUUCGUCCCAUGCUCAUCAAUAAAAACGUCAACCUUUGCUCUAAUGCGCCAAUUUGUCAUCUGUUUCAAAAUUUUACUUUGUAAUGUAUGAUGAAAUUGUUUAAUAAAUCAAGACAAAUUAAACACCCGCUCUAAAUAAAAGGGUGUAUUGGUCAAUCAGUAAAGUAAAAUAAAGACUUCAUAAGUUAAUGCAUACGGAUUAAGAAUGCUCCUUUACAAGGUAAAUUCUAGGUGAAAUCUAAGUUUAAGAAACACUUAAGUUAAGAUGUUCAUGCAUACAGGCCUUGAAGCAAAGUGACUGGUUAAUUUUGGGUUUCUCGGUCAACGUUCGUCUGUAUGUUUUUAUUCUAGUUAUAUCAAUAUAGAUGGUAGAUAGGCAGUGUUUAUACAUCAUAUAGUUAGUUUAACUCGUCAAUAUCAAGUGAAUAAAUAAAUUCUAUGCAUGACCAAAAAAGAAAUAAAAUUGCAUUUAAAAUUUUUAUGAAAUUAGUCACACUAGGGAACACCAACAUUCAAUUUGACUAUUAAAUAUUUAAUGGACAUACUUUCUUUUAAAGACAUUUAUUAUUGUUAUUCCAAUAACAAACAUUUUCAAAAGAUAAAACAUAUGCGAUGGGUAGAUAAAAAGAUCAACAUUAUCUUAGCAUUUACUUAACAAUCAGUGAAGAACGCCACAUGCGUGGUGCUGGCUAUUUAUGACACAGGGUGAUAUCUUCCUAGCGAAGAAAAAAAAAAACGAUCGAGAAGAAAAGUAUGGAAGCGUAUUAAAAAGCGCUAUUCAACUUUUUUUUUUAAAUUUUCCCCUUGUUGGCGAUUUACGGCUAACAUUUGUGAUAUGAAGGUUGCGUUAUAACUUAUAACGUGUUUACUUUUGCAAAUAACGUAAACAGUUGUUAUAAAGGGAGUAAGCUAAAAUGGAGAAUGCAAAUAGGGAAUGUGUCAAAGAGACGAAGGCCAUCAGUGGGUUUUCAAUACAACGAAGAGGCAGCAUGGUGUUAUUCCUCUUCUCACUUAUUGCAAGGUAAAGUGCUGGGGGUGUUUAGCACAUAUCAUGGCAUAGUACUGAGCAGGAUAUUAUUAAAAAUAAUAUUGAGUUUAUCGAAGUCAUACUGAAGAUUAAAAAUCUACCCUGUUAAUGCAUAGCUGAAUCUGAUGUCCUUCCAAAGUAAACACACAUAUGAACAUUGUGUAAGAUUGGUUAGAUCAAAACAAGUUACCCAUUUGAGAUAAAUGUAUAAGAUGGAUAUUUUGUUUCUAAUUGUGUAAUAUACAUUCAAAUUGCUUCCCAAGCAUCUUAAAUAGAUACAUGUACCUUAAUAAAAUGAAAUUAAAACCCCUAUAAAAGAGGGACGAAAGAUACCAAAGGGACAGUCAAACUCAUAAAUCUAAAACAAACUGACAACGCCAUGUAAUUAUUUUUUUUUUAUCAACAAAAGAUUUCUUUUUCCAAAUAAUUCAUCUUUAUUCCGAAAGGUCAAUUUGUUUAUUUGACUGUAUCGUUUAACAAUUGGAUGACAUUUGUUUAGCUCCUCUCUGCUUUGCCACUUUCCACUUUCAUUCAAGGAUAUUAAUUUGCGCUUCCGCUGAAGAUUGCAGGAUACGUAUUAGGCUUAUUAGAAUUGUACUAUCGAUUUUGAUACUGUACGGAGUUAAGGGCAUACGAUACAGUUACAAGGGAGGUAAUGACGUUGCUAACGUAGAUUGUUAUUUUCGCGACGUCAAACUAUGACAUAUCCGGAAAAGAUUCAGUUUUCGACUGAUUUUUAUCAUUCAAACUUAUUUAUCUUGAAAACGAGUUCAUGGACCCCUCUUAUUUAAAAUGCCAUUUGGUUUGAAUAAGCGAGAAGAUCGUGUGUGCCAAUUUUCAUGAAAACGUAAAUAGCGCAUUUUUUUUUUAAUUUGAUAGAUAUACAGCAAAAAAUGAUGUUGUUUUUUCUACAUUCAUGAACAUUAAAAUUUUGAUAAAUAUGAGUUAUUAAUAAAUAAAAAAUGUAUAAAUUUUAAGGAUACUUAUAAAAUACAGAAAUUACGAAUUAUUUAACAAAAAUCAAUUUGUGUUUAUAUUUUAAAACAAAAAAGUUAUGUCUUUCUUUCGAAAGGGAAAAUACGCCCACAAAUCCGAAUUUUAGCAAAUAUACAAUUCGACCUCAUUUUACUCAAAAAGUAGCACAUGAAUGUAUAUAUUUUUUAUUACAUAUGUGAUUUAAUCAGGUAAAAAAUAGUCUUUAUGGAAAUUUUUAUCCAAAUGUAAAUACGGGAUCAAAACUGUAUCAUAUGACCUUAAAGCUACUGACUAAACGGAAUUUGAUGAGACUGUCAUCAACGUGAGAGGGUUAGCGCUAUAAAACCAUAUUUAAUCGACCAUUUUCUACAUUCGAAAAUGCCUGUACCAAGUCAGGAAUAUGACAGUUCUUGUCCAUUCGUUUUUGAUGCAUUUUGUUAUUUGAUUUUGCCAUGUGAUUAUGGACUUUCCGAAUUGAUUUUCCUCUAAAUUCAGUAUUUUUGUGAUUUUACUUUUUACUCCAAUGCUCCGUUCAUUCAAAUGCUUUUCAGUUUUUAUGGUCACAGGUUCUUAGACUUUUGGAUUCGAGUUUCAAAUAUUCGAUACUGUAUAUUUUGUUCAUAUAUAAACCCCUGGAAAAAGUUAAAUCAAUCGCACUUACCUGGGUUUUCUUACAAACCUAAUAAUUAUAACAUAUCUUUUUUUUUAUUCAUGGUUCCAACACUAUAUAAAUUCUGUUAUAAUUGACAAGACCCCAGUUUAAUAUUCAUUUAUUCUUAGGUUUUUCUGUCCUCUGAUAGUAGAUGUCGUUCCCUGUGUUUUAAUUUGCUAUCCGGGUUUGCAUUCUCUCAAUCCAUUAAUUACUUUUCAACAGCGGUAUAAUACUAUUGCUUUUAUUCAAAAGAUAUAAAAAGGUUCAAAAUAAUUUGUUAAGUAAAAGUAAAAGUAUCGUUGUUACUAAACAUGAACAAUAUUUAACUUCGGAUGUGUACAUGGGCAAGCAUUUAAGUUCAAAAGCACAAUUCCUUGUUUUGAAAAGGAAUUGUGUCAGUGAAUACAAUAAACGCAACAAUGUGCAAUACCGAGUUACUGCUGCUUAAUCCGAGUGGGAUAACUAUUUUACAUCCCAGCUGUUUUAGAUUAGACGAAAAACCACUUACUAUUCAUAAAAUCUAGUUUUGAACGCCACACAACCAUUAUAAUAUACUUUAUACAUUACUAUAUGAUUUCUACCCUUUUUGACCACCGAACACGAUGAGUAGAUAUCAAACAAUGUCAACUCGCCCCACUGGCCAAUCGGCCCAACCUAUAUCGCCACUUUAUGAAAAAAGUCGCCCCACUCUUGUUUACCGACUUGCCCCACUUUUGAAAAAGUGUAAAAUCAUACUGAACAAUCACUGACAACUCACUUAUUAACGAAAAUGACCCAGUGAAUAAAGGUCUGCCAACUCGCCCCACUUAUACAAAUAUCUUGCUUCCUUUAAGUUUGUUAAAUUACUGAUAGGUCGUAUGCAGUCGUCCUGGUGUAAUGGUUGUGUCGUGGCUUGAUAUUCUAAAGGUCUUGAGUUCGAAUUCCAGCAUAUACACUGGAUUUUUCUACGUGAAUUUUGAAAGAUAGUCUUUUCCGUAUAAUUGUAUAUCUAAUUAUAAGUUUUAUAGUGGAUUUGACAUUCCCGCCAAAAUGUUACAGAACAAAGGAAAGCAUGCAUAACAAAGAAACUCAAACUGGGGUGAUCUGGUAGGGGUGAUCCGGCUCAGAUCACCCCUGUUAGAACAAAGGACCUGGGAUGUAAGUUAAAAAAAACAGCAUUUGUACAAAUUAUGUACUUUCGGCGAAGACAUGUAGUAUACUUUAUUUUACCUAAAUAGACCGUGUAUAUAUCACAUAGGAGUAGAUGGCUAUUUUGUUUUUUAAUUCAGUUGUGUUAUGUCCUCUUUGUAAGAUAAAUUCGUUACGCAGUGUGCCUUAUAUCACUACAGUAUAGCAUACUGCGUCUUAGGUUACUAUAUAUAGCACACUAUGUGACUAGGUUAUGUAAAUCUUUAAAAAAUCAAUUUAAUGUGCUGUUAUACAUUUUUCCGGAUGCAAAGUAACCUAGACCCUUUUGUCAGCUUACUAUUCAAAACUGAAUGAUUUUAGUGAUCAAUAUGCCGCUACACGGUUCAAUUGUUAUUUGUAAAUAUUAAACUUACUUUAUGCAAGACUAGCCAUCCUGUGUAAGUAGAUAAAAAUUUGAACCACUCAACAAUAAUUUCACUGGUACAUUUAGUACAUCAAAUGCUUAUAAUGAUAGUACCACUGACCCGAUUCUUUAGCAUUUCAAAAAAUAUUAAAAAAAAAUGCAGGCGCCAAUCAUAAAAUACAUGUUAAACAUAUUUAAUUAGCUUGAAUUUUCAUCAUAAUUUAGCUUUUGAUAUAAAUGUGUUUAUUUUAACGCUAUAUGUGGAUUAUUAAAAGCCUUCAAAUCUUUCAGUAUGAUUUUGUUGAUUUGAAAUUUAGAUACUAGUAAAUCAAGUCAGCUUAUAUUAUUUAUGAUUUUACAGCUUGACUAACAGGGGAAUAGAAGUAUGGUCACUUGGUCUUCUUCCGAUUGGCAGUUAAACGCUUGCCGAAGUUGGGCGUCAGUUUGGCUUUACGGAAUGCACAAGUCAGAACGGGGACGUUAAAUUCGAUGCUUCGUGUAAAGAGAGAGGCACGCUCUUUGCACGUUUAUAACCCUUGCAGCAACUCUAUGGGGGUCUGUAGGUGGCCUGUUGCAAGCCAAAAUUUCUGUCCUUUAUCCAAUAUACCCCCAUUUUCAAUAAACAGUCCAAAUUUCCCCGACUUCCAUCCCGAAUGGCCUCUAAUACAAGAUCUACCUAUUGUAUUUAUUGUUAACUUGUUCUCGUUUUGAACAUGCAUUAAAUAUUUGCCAUUGGACUUGAAGCAACCAACAAAUCAAUCAAUUGUUUUACCCCUUUUUGGUUAAAUAUAUCCCCCCUUCUUACUUUUUAGUACAUUUAAGUAGAAUGAUGAUAAAUAUCAAAUAACUAAAAAGGUUCCAAUUUAAAUUAUCCAAGACGUAAUCAAGUUACGUUUUGUCAAUGCAAUAAUAUCAGAAAUUGACAAAAAGAUCGGUAAAGUACAAACUAGCCGACAAGUACCUGAAAAGACUUGUUGUGUGUAUGUCAGAAACAUCGAUGAGGAUUUUGAUAUGAUCUUAUCAUAUUGUUAACCAACUAACAGUGGAGUCCCCGACGUCCGCGCGGCCGGUGAUACCGCGUAUUAGGUGAUUUGGUCAUAUCAACACAGUAACACAAAUAAAAUUGUUCUUGUUAUUGUUUCAGCAUGCCGAAGGGAUAACAAAGAAUAAAAUUGAUAAGUUCAAGAGUUAAAUAACAACUACAAUCCCGUGAUUUACAAUAUUUGGCCAAAUUCCAUUAAAAAAAUUACAUCAUCAGAUAAAAUUUGUUUUAUUUAAGUCAAAUUUAUAUCAGAUUGAAAUUAUUUUUGCUCUGCAUUCUUGGCAGUGUGCUUGGUUCAAAUUCAGCUAUAUUUCGUAGCAGAAAAUCUUUCCUUUAAUAAAAAUAAACUAUUUUUGGAAGGCAUGCGCGAAAUCACCGGACAUUUGAGGAACUCUCAGAACAGGGGUUUCCCUAAUUUUGACAUACAUUACACAACAUCUUGAGGAUGAAACCAUACAAACAGAUAAUUUUAUGAAAUAAAAGUAUGUUUUGAAUGUGUUCACACAAAUUUAUCUAAUUAUUGAUUUUAUCAGUUAAAUGAACUGAAGUCACAAGUCUUAAGACCCCGUUCACACUUAGACAUUUAGAUCGAUUUAAAGUAGACCGAUUCUCUUUAGAUCGGGUUAAGGGCUAAUGUGAACGCUUUGAAUCGAUCUUCAAUCGGUCUAAACUAAAACACCAAAAGAGGUAGUUUAGUUUGAAUCGAUCUAAAGUAAACCGAUCUUAAUUUAAAUGUGAACGCAAAUAUCGGUUUAAACUAGUACGAUUGAAUUGAAAAUAACGUAUGCGCAUGUAUAGCGGCAAAACUAUAUCAGAGGUUCGUUGUUUACCCCAUAUUUCUUUGUUAACAGACCAAAAAUCUGAAAACCUGUUGUCUUCUCUGUAGCAUAAAUUUUUAAAAUCUGUGUCUUCUUUUCUUAUGUUGAUUUUUUUUUCUUUUCAAGAACCGCAGCAUUUCUGUGUGUUGUAACUUCGUAGCUACAGUUUUUUUUCCAAAAUUAAAAAAAAAACUGAAUUAACACCAGUAUCAAAAUUUUAAAUAAUGAUUCAAGAGUUACAAUAAUUUUAUCCAUUUUUUUCAUUUUGUGUAUAAGUAUCAGUGUAUCAACACAUACAUUUUAUAAAUCAGUUCAUUUUAUUUAACAAUGUUUACAGUUUUACGGGUAAAAAGGUCAGAUCGAUUGCGUUUUUAAUUGUAGUGUGAACGCAGUGGUUCAGAUAAUACCGAUAAAAAUCGUUAUGAUUAAAAAGAUAAUGUGAACGCUAACUGGUUUUAUUUAGAUCGAUUCAAAAUAGAUCGAUUAAAAAAAUGCUAGUGUGAACGGGGUCUUACGUGCGCGGAUACACCGGACUGCACCGUAAUUGAAAAUUGCACAGAAACCAUAAACGUCCAAUGCUUUAAUUAGAUUCUAUAAUAAAUAAGAAUUGUAUAGCUGUUCAGUGUUUGAGGCGCAGUUAGUGUUAUUUCAGGGAAUCUAAUUAGCUGCACUUAAAAAAUGCGAUUUAUUCCUAAGUUAAACAUAUCUGAUAUGUCUUAUUGUAAUUUGAUAUGGACCCAACUGCAUUUCAGGCAAAAGGGUUAACUUCAGUUGGUGUUAAGAAAUUGUGGACAUAAAUAUAAAGGGUGAUCUUUUUUGAAUUUCAAACAUGGAACUAGUUCAAAUGAAUACACGUUUCAGUCGAAUAAGAUCUAGUAAAUUAUUUACCAUCCUCAACUUCAAAAGCUGAUCAUAAUUAUAAAUGUUUUCAGAACAAACAUUUAUACCUCCAAUAAUUGACUUAAAAAUAAUCGAUUAUGUGCGCAGGUGGCUAUUUGCGCUCAUGAUACAUGGACGCUUAUUACUUUUCCUGUAAGCCCUUGUUUGUGAGGUUUUCCUUAACAUUAUACAUCAACCUUAACUUGAACAGGAACGCAUGCUUUGAAUUCAUAUUCAUAUUCACCUCACAAUCAUAAUCUUGGCUAAUUUCAGGGGCAGCGGUGUCACGAUUGUACCUUCCAUGCCACCACUCCUUUAACAUGUUUAGUUGCUCGCCCAUUUCCGUUCCUCCGUCUGUUUUUUUAAGGCAUUCGUAAUCAAAAACAAUAUUUAAAGUCCUUGCACUAAAUGAUCAAUCUGUAUCCUAAUUUGAGCUAUUAAAAAUCAUUUAUUCAGUUUCGCAUUUUUAAUGAACAUUUGUUUUAUUAACUUUGAUAACUAUAUAUCAAGUAUAUAAAUUCAAAGGACUACAAUUGUUCGCCAAGAUACUGUGCUCGAGCCCCUCAACAUUGUACCUGAUCUAGAUGCGAUAAUCACACACAUCGGUGACAUAACAUGAAUUUAAUGUAUUUAUGAAAUACCAGAUUUAGUGUCAACAGAAGUAAAUUUCAUUUUUUUUUUAAAUUUUUAUUUAUAUAACUAUUACUCCGGAUCUUGUCAUGCGUUUAUUUAAACGUAAUAACAUUAUUAUAGCUAUGUUUGCCUGUAUUCAGGGUUGAUUCUGUUGUGUAAGCAAACCUAUAGUUAGCACAUAUACAUAAUUUAUAUUCAAUGUACUAAACAAACAAGGACUAUUGUUCAUCAUUUUUUUACCAAACAUGGCUCUGUUUCACACAACAGCCACGAAAUUUGUUCAUGUGUACAUAGAAAAUUGUCUAAUUAGAAAAAAAUAUAGCUUGUUACAUCCUAGAUGUAUAAAAGUUACAUCCAUUUUGUGUUUAAGAAGUUAGAUGUUGAUGAACACGUUCUUUCCAUUUAUGUCGAAUAGUACUGAUGUGCAUGUACCUAAAUUACCCAUACAUUGUACUUACACAUCGAAAAAAAAAAUCGUGUUGAAACCAUGGCAGUUUUUUAUUUUAAAUAUUGCAUAUACCCGUAGAUGAAAAUUUAAUUCAAUAAAAUAAUUAGAGAUUGCGUUAUCAAAAAGUUUAUUAAAAGCAAAAAUGAAAAAUAUUCAAUGCGAAAAUGAGUUUAGAUGUGUUUUUAUUUAUUUGUUAAAUUUGAACUUUACUUAUAUUUUAUAUAUAAAUAAUAGUUUCCUACAAUUUUCAAUGUCAACUCAGCUUGAUUUUUCAAGGUAAAGGCUUUUGAACUGUAAAAAAGCACAAGGUUAAAAAUAACGGUAAAAAUAUAGAAAUAAGGACGAUUCAGCUACAGUAUGUCACGCGUAUCCGUUAAAUCAACUGGAUUUUAUUAUGAUAGUCAAAAUCCCUUUUCAAUUAUUGACACUUAAAACAGCAAGCAUUCCCAACAUGCGGUUUUUUUUUUAUAUACAAACUGGUAGUUUUAAAACUUUUACACUUUAAAAUUCCUCUCGUUUUGUAUACUUCAAUUAAUGUAACCAUAUGCAUGAUAUAAGAUCUUUUUAAAAUGCUUUACGGUUUUGACCAAGACGUGCAACGAAUUUUUGAUAACUGCUGUGUCGUAGAUUUAUAUCUUUCAGGGCCGUAACUAGGGUUCUAAUUCAGGGGAGGCAGGCAUUUGGGGCCGCCGACUGAGUGAGGCCCCCAAGAGAGGGUUGGGGGUGGUAAAAUGGCUAAAAAUGACCCGUUUCCCUUCAAUUUCCUUACUAUAAAAGACAUCAGUAUUGCUUGAAGUUGGAAACAAUUUUUAUGCAAAAACAAGCUGAGAUUGCUGUUUGGGGUGAGCCAAGGCUCCUUCUUAAAUGCUGUUAUUUGGCCUAUAAUUAUUAACUUUAAAUACAUUGUGACCAUGGAUUUUUUUUCUCAAUAUGGCUAUAAAUGACCCAUUUUUCUUCGAUUUCCUUACUUUAAGAAAUAUCAGUAAUGCUGGAUCCUGGAAGCAAUUUAUAUGCAAACAAUUAUUACCUGUAUUUAAAGAUAUUUUUAUUAGAAAUCAAACUGGUAAGUUAAAAAAAACAUAUAAAGCAACUAAGAUCAUGGAACGCAAGAUAAUUUUUUUAUCGAGGACCUUGAAUUUCAAUAUUGUUGAAAGCUGAACAGACAUGUAUAUAAGUAAAAACAGGGACUUUAAAUACAGUCAAGUAUAUACUUAGUAUAGAAAGUCCCUGCUACAACGAAUGGGGGUGAACUACUAAGGCAUUAACCAUAAUGUUCUCGUACGAACGGGAGAAGCGGUUAAAACAGCUGAUUCAGCCGGUAACGAAUUCCCGAUAUCAUAAAAGAUUCACAAUUCAAAGGGAACUUCCUCUGCUUAAUUGAGCCCCUAAAUAAAUGUGAAUAGUUAAGUUUUAUUCAAAAUUGUCGAAAGCAAAGUUUCAUAUGUGUUUUCGUACGAAUACUGAAUAACAGACGGACGGCCACACAAAAAAAAAUUAUAAUACUGUAACGGUUCACUUUCGAUCAAAAAUCCGGAAAAUGACACAUAUAUCACGUAUCAUGAUAACACUGUUAAAACUGUAAACUUAUGUUGUUUAUUAUAUAAAUUCAAGUUCUUGGUGUACAUAAUGUCAAAAUUUCAUUUUAUUACUUCCAAAAAAAGUUUGGUGUAGAAAAUUCAGGGAUUGCCUCCCCUGCCUCAUAGGUAGUUACGGCCCUGUCUUUAAUAUUUGUGUAACUGUGUAAUUUUUAUAUAGUAGAAUAUUAAUGUAUCAAAUCUCUACAAAUUAAAUUUAAAGCACAUUUCCUACAUUUUUUGAGAUUGUAUUUAUCCGUAAAUAGUUUUUUUUUUAAGCACGUAGGUUUGAAAUUACUGCGCUCUCCCUCAUGCAUUUGGCAACCUUCAUUUUUCAAGCGUCGUUUUUUCAUGGCUGCAUGCUAAAAAUAUUUAAGGGUGUUGUAUUUGCGUGAUAAAUGAAGCUAUUUUUAGUCAAAUUAUAGACUUUUGUUAUAUAUUUAUUACUAACAUUUUGUUACAUUUAACUUCUUGUUAUAUGAUGGGGAUGUGUAUGUUAUAUUUCUCUGGGGGGACAAAGCUUUAAUAAAUAUUGUCAUACGUACAUUAUAGUUGAUUAUUAUACUAUACCUAGUAAGGUAAAGUCAUUUUUAAGAUUGGAAAUUCGGAAAUAAAAUGGAAUUCGAAUUCCAGUUGUAGUAAAAACUACAAAUUCUAAAUAUAUGUUGUAGGUGCAAGAUCUCUGACCUUGAUGACCAUUACACAUCUCCGGGUCCGGUCUUCCUUAAUACUACCAAUGGAAUUCAAGAAUACAACGUAACAGAAUGCCAAAUUCAAACAAAUGGUACAACAACAAAGUGCAACGAUUGGAUUUACGACUCUAGUCUGUUUGAAGCAACAAUUAUUUCAAAGGUCAGUUUUAUUUGCUUAUUGGCCGUAAAAAUGUAUGAAAUACUUGACUGUCAUUGGUAGUUCAGCGCAAACAUCAAUUAGUCUGUUUUUAUUUAGAGUAUCUUUAUUUAUUCUAAAUGUAUGUAACUUACAAUGCCUUUUCAAUAUUGUCAUAUCUUAAAUCAAAUACAUGAACAGUUGUAUAUUUUUUUUUUUAUAAUUGAAUAAAUUAAUGUUGUUUCCAGAUGAACAUUGCAGUCACUUUACUCACUUACAGCUUCAAGUCCAAAAAAAAAUUAAUCUUAUCUGCAAUUAAUCUUCUUUUACCUACAUUUAUAUGUAUGAAUUGAAUUUUGAAAUUAGAAUGAUUCUUCCAGCCUUCCUUCAAUUUGCAUUUUUUUUUAAAUUAUUAUUAUGAAAAAAGAUGAGUCAGUCUUUCUUAUACUGAUGUCUUUUUUGUUAUAGUUUGACGUGGUAUGCGACGAAAAACUGUACAGAGCCCAUUUUUUGAUGGGACACUAUGUCGGACUUCUCAUAGGUUCAAUAUUGUCUGGAUUGCUAAGUGACUUGUAAGUAGACAUGUUUCAACCUAUGAACAUACUAUUCUAUAAUGUAUUCUAUGUUUUGUUUUGUAUAAUGUUGUUUGUAUUUUGGUUGUUUUUGUCAUAGCGUUAUCAUUUGUCAUUGACUUACGAGUUUUAAUAUGGUAUCUUGUAGGUAACUUUCGCUUCUUUUUUACAUCUAGGAUUGAGCUAAUUAAAAUUGUCAGUCAGUUUUUGUUUUUGUACGGAAACGAACAAGAAAAAAAAACGUACCUUAAAGGUCAAGGCAUCAGGUGCUAAUAUGCAGUGCUGUGUAUUAAUAAACAAGGAUUUACGAUUUUGGUGUUGCGUAAAACAGUCCUUUAUGGUUUACUUUUAUAAAUUGUAACUUUGAUUGAGAGUUGUCUCAUUGGAACUCAUACCACAUCUUCCUAUAUCUACUUAUCACAUUAUCUUUACUAGAAGUAUGAUCAACAACCUGCACAAUCUACAAAAAACAAUUACAAAAUAUUAGAAACAAUUCACAACUUUAUGAAUGAAAAAGAAAAUUAAAUUACUACUGUAAAUUGGUCAGUGUGCAUGUGCAUCUAUUGAAUCGUACAGUUUUAUAAGAAUAGUCGUAUACCAGUGAAAGACAAUUCAUAUAAAACAAAAUGGUUUUUCAAACAAAAAUAAAAAAGUCAAAGAGACCAUAGCAGCAAUUAAAUUGUAAACGUCUAGACGGGUGUAAAAUAAAACCGUGGAAUGAUUUAAAUUCCCUCUUAUGCACGGGUGCAUUACCCGUGCACAAUACUACGCAUGACGGUACUCGUUAUACCUUGUCACGAAAAGAAAUGAUCAAAACUUAUGUAGUACCGCUUUUAGUCGUUCUUCCUCAUGAUCCUGUUGGAGACAGCUUUUGCACCAAAUACCUUGUUAAAAAUUCCACAGACGUUCGAUUCUUGAUUCAUUUACGUAUAACGCACGCCUCAAUUUCUUCUUAAUGAAUUAGAUGAAUUUCAAAGACAUUUAUUUAAACACCAGCCUAGUAUAUUUUCAAUUUAUACUCUCAGAGCAUUUAUACUUUCAAUGUCAACUCUUUGUAGAUUGUCAUAAUGUUUAGGAUUUUAAAAUAUUUUCCUAUCAUACUGCUUUUAAAGUAUUUAAAAUGUAUAAUACUUUACUAAUAUGAAUAAUAUACAAUUAUAGUAUUUCAUAUUUUAUUAGAUGGGGUCGGAAACCAACGAUGCUAAUAGGAAUAGUUAUGUUGUUGUUUUCAAUGGGACUCAGACCUUUCAUGCCGUAUUUCUUACUAGUGUCCAUUCUCGAGUUCUUCAAUGGUGCUGGUAGUAUGAUAGCAUACAUUUGUCCAUUUAUAAUUCGUAAGUUAUUUAAUGUGUUUAACUGUAACAUUACAAUUAAGUUAAUUGUAUACAUAUGUAACAGUAGUUGUAGUGCUAUCAGAAAUAAAUAACAUUUGUUUCAAUAAAAAAAAUACAUGUAUUUUCAGUUACAUAUAUAAUAGUAUUUACAAAAAGCGGUGAAAAAAACCCACAAAAAAUAUAACUAGGUAAGAAUAGCUCUCUUGACCCUUCGUGUCAGGUAAGAUAUAAGCGAGCUUAAAAUAGAAAACAAUUCUUAUCACCUAUGAACGGAAAAAAGUUAGAACCAUAUGUUAUAAAAUAGUUAUAAUAAUUAGUUUCUAGAGGACGUUACACAAACAAACAAAAAUAUUGUUGAGCAUUGCAAAUACUACCGAUUUGCCAAGUAUGAACUCGGUACAAUUGCAUUAAAUUAAUAAUUUUUUUGUAUGACAAAUAACAAUACGGAGAAUAUGAUUUUAAAUUUGACUGUAAACAUGUAAUUUGAUAUCGAAAGUUAUGACAUUAACACAAUUGAAAACGGUAAUAGUAAAGAAAAUAUCUGUACGAUAUUUCUAAAUUUUUGUUUGUAUUUUGUUUUAACAAAUAUUACAAGAGUUUUUAAUGAAUAACACACUUAUUAAUAAACCUAACAUUAUGUUACUUGAAGCACAACUUUAAAAUCUAAAUUCUUUAUUACCGUCAACACUACAGUUCAUCGGUAUCAGUAUAACUUACGAAAUAAACAAGUAAACAUACAGAUAAUAUAAGUCUUAUGCUUGUUAUAACGUGGUCUCUGAUUUUAAAUGCAGUAAACCUUUAUUUUCCUUAACUAUCUGAUGUUCUUAACACUCAAAAGUUCAAUAAAUUUAAACACUAUUUGCCUAGAUCAAUAAUAUUUCUUGAUGAAUUUUCUCUAAACUCCUUAUAUUUCGAACGCACACUUAAGAUAAAAUGAAAUUAGGCUUGAAUACUCUGACAGCAAGUUGUACAUUCACGAGGUGACAACUGAAUGCUUAUGCAGCGUCCAGUUUCAACUUAUAACGAACGAGAAGAAAGUUUAUUUCAGAAAGGGCUCUCCGGUACACAACACAAAUAAUUUUGUCAAAAACAAAAGUUUGAAAACUUUGACACAUUUACAGAUUUUGAACGUUUUCGAUCGAUAUCGAUGCACAUUUCUUUAUAUACAUGUACGGAGCUUAAAAUACACGUAUUUGUUAACAAGAUUUUGAACCAGUAUUUAAACAUUUGAAUUUUCCAUUUAACAAUCAUUCAAUUGGAAGUCUUCCUAGUUCCAGGUAUACAUGUAUCAUGAUAGCAGGAUUUGUAAACUGUUAAAAACAUCAAGUUGUCUUUUGCAAUUUAUCAAUUCCUUUGAUCAUUGAAAUGAAUAUCAAUAUGUAUUUAACUGCAUUUAAUUAACACACUGUAAUUUUAAUAUUUUAGUUACUGAAAUGGUUGGACCUAAGCAAAGAAUUCUAGCCAACUUUGCUGUAUACAUAACAUUCUGUGUAGGAAACUAUAUCCUACUACUACUAGCGUAUUACUUGAGGGACUGGUCUGUUUUAUAUUUUGCGAUAACUAUAUUUGUAGCUGCAUAUAUGAUAGUUAUGUUGUAAGUUAAAUUGAUAUUCCAUUUCAUCAUAAUCUAAAAAAAUGUUUAUGUUGACAAACUUAAAAAUUUAUUCAUAAUCACAGUAAACGAUAUGAUGGAUGUAACGUGUCUUCUGAUUUUUUGUUUUUUAAUUAGCUCAUAAACAUAAUUUUGGGAUGUGACCAUGACGUCUUCAACGUUUUUAAUGAUUUACUCCUUAAAACGGAUUUAGAAAGGCCAAUCAUUAAAUAGAAAUUGUAUGUCUGAUUUUUAUAAGCAUGAUACUUAAAAAUAAUAAUAAUACACACAUAGUGCAAAAGUCCCAAAACUAUAGACGUCAUUGCUAUUGUCGCCUUAAAUGCUCACCAUGCAUUUCAGCAAAACAUUAUUUUAAACCAUAAUUGGUAACAUUGAAAGUUAUCUUGUUAUACACUGUAUAUUGAGGGCGCAAUUAUCUAGAUCAACCCGAGUACAUUAAAAAAAAACUCAGUUAAUUGACGAUUUCUGCCACUUGAUUAUUAGUAGUCGGUUUGAUCUCGUCUUGUCUUUCUAAUUGUAUUAGCGGUUUACAGUUUCUCUCUAUUGAUAACGCUUUGCCGUGUUAUAGUAAAAAAAAUAAAACAAACGGGUAAAACAAAGUCGUUAAAGGGCCAAAGUCAGUCGAGAGAAUACCUCACUGAAAACUUAACUCUUUUACUUUUAGACGAUAGCUGUUUCUAUCGUUCUAUUAAAUGCUUCAUUCUUUUAAUUUCUUAAAACUUGCAUAUAGCCAAAAAAAUAAGAUAUAUUCGACUGUAAAGAUCUAUUGUUAAGUAAUUAAGCCUAGUAUAUUUGGUUUCAAUUAUUAUUAAAAAUAAAACAAGUCCAUUGUAUAUCUAGAUAAUAACGUCAUAUAUACUUUUAACACAUUCUACUUCACCAGAUGCGGAAACGGAGUCGCUACACACUGAUUACAAAUUUGUUCUGUACAUUUAAUAGAAACUAAACUUGACUUUCCCAAAUUAAUUUUUAUUUUACUUUUCUGAAUGCUUAUACUGACGUUGUUGAUUAUUUGUUUUGACAGUUUUAUUUCGGAAUCACCAAGAUGGUUAUUAAGUCGGGGGAGAAAAAAAGAAGCUCUAGCAAUUUUAAAAAAGAUGGCAAUAUUUAAUGGAAAGAGUUUGAACAUGUCUGUAGACGAUGUGGUUGUGAAGGAUAUACAUAGAACAUCUUUUCUUGACUUUGUGAAAAC
rnacentral:lncRNA from 1 species